AAACCACCGCUAGUUGUGGGACACCAUCACAGAACCUCUAAACCCCAAAAACCCCAAUUGCUGCGAGCAGAGCCAGCCCUUCUUCUUUGGUUGUUCAUAUCAUUGCGCCGCUCUCUCUCUCUCUCUUUCAUCAAUCUUCUUUCCUUCAUGCUUUGUAUGAGAAUUUGAGAUGAACGCUUUAAGGGCUCUGAGAAUAGCCACGACGAUUUCUUCUCGAUCCCACCAGACUUUCCUCAUAAAUCCAUUGUUUUCCCAUCGAUGUUACUCUGCCCAACCUGAGCAAGACGAUCCGAAUCACAACCCUACUUUCUCGGACACUGAAAAUGCUCCGGAUUCUGUAUUUGAUAGUUCGCAGUUCACUAUUCCAAACAUGGAUUCGUGUACUAAAACUGAGUCUCACUCCCCUGCCGAAUCCACUUGGGAUAAAAAAUACAGGGCAAGAGCUGACAAACUGAUAUUUGGGGAAGAAUCCGAGGGAGUAAAAUACAAGAUAAUGGAGGAGGAGGAGGAAAGGAGACGGAGAGUGCUUGCCAAGGCUCUGCUUGAGGCGGCGUUGGAAACUGCUGACGAUCAGGAAGAAGAUGACGAGAGAACGGUGAAGGAGGAGGACCAGAAGUCCCUGGCUGUUGGGAUAAUUGGAGCACCAAACGCUGGCAAGUCCGCGUUGACAAACUUUAUGGUGGGAACUAAAGUUGCUGCAGUUUCACGGAAGACAAAUACCACUACUCACGAAGUCCUAGGAAUAAUGACCAAAGGAAAUACCCAAAUUUGUUUCUUCGACACACCAGGGCUUAUGUUAAAGAGUAAGGGACUUCCUUAUAAAGACAUGAAAGUGCGUGUGCAAAGUGCUUGGAGUUCAGUUCAACUUUAUGAUGUGUUGAUAGUUAUUUUUGACGUCCACAGACAUCUUACAAGGCCUGAUUCAAGGGUGGUAGGAUUGAUCAAACGAAUGGGAGCUUCAUCACAACCAAAGCAGAAGCGAAUAUUAUGUAUGAACAAAGUUGAUUUAGUCGAAAACAAGAAAGACUUGUUAACAGUUGCAGAACAAUUUAAAGAUCUUCCCGGAUAUGAAAGGUACUUCAUGAUCUCGGGGCUAAAGGGAGCUGGAGUAAAAGAUCUUUCAAAAUACUUAAUAGAACAGGCAGUCAAAAGACCUUGGGAUGAAGAUCCAUACACUAUGAAUGAAGAAAUGAUGAAGAACAUAUCACUUGAAGUUGUUCGGGAGCGGUUGUUAGACCAUGUGCAUCAGGAAAUUCCUUAUGGAAUCGAACAUCGCCUGGUUGAUUGGAAAGAAUUUCGAGACGGUUCUCUUAGGAUUGAGCAACACUUGAUCACUAAUAAACCAAGUCAGCGCAAAAUUCUUGUGGGGAAAAAUGGCUGUAAAAUUGGGAGAAUAGGUAUUGAAGCAAAUGAAGAGCUAAGGUCUAUCUUCAAGAAACAAGUGCAUCUCAUCCUCCAAGUUAGACUUAAAUGAUGCAUCUGCCUAUCUAUAGUUCCCCUUUGCACAUAUAGAAAAUUGUUUGUUGGUUAUCUUAGAAUUGCAGAUAUCUUCCCCGCUAUAAUUUAUAGUGGACGUGAAGAUGAAGGCUUCAGAGCUUAGAAGCAGUUUAUUCUUUUUAAAAGGGUGGAAAUGCAUUUUGAUGAAGAGAAGAAUUUGACAUUGUGCAUGAAGCCCAUGAGAAGUGAGAGCGAGACUUAAUAACUUUUCUGGAAGUUUCUAAAUGACGAAAGGCAUCUUCGCAUUGGUACCCAACAACAAACUAGGAUGAAAUCUCGUCUAUUUCUUUGGAAGAUAUUCUCAGAACUUUUGCAGCUCAAGGAGGGUUAUUAUUUGGUAGCAAGGAUUCAAAAUCCCAAGGAUUCAAAAUCCCAAGAAUAUAAGCCAUGGCCAUACAUGUCUACGCAAACAUGGAAAUUCGAAUCAUGAAAAUUGUCGGGAAAUAGGACAAAGGCUUCGUCAUAACACUGAUUUAACGGUCAUGA